rnacentral:rRNA from 1 species
GACGAACGCUGGCGGCGUGCUUAACACAUGCAAGUCGAACGGUGAAGGGACCAGCUUGCUGGUUCUGGAUGAGUGGCGAACGGGUGAGUAACACGUGAGUAACCUGCCCCCUUCUUCUGGAUAACCGCAUGAAAGUGUGGCUAAUACGGGAUAUUCUGGGUCUGUCGCAUGGCGGGCCCGGGAAAGAUAUUGCUUCGGUGGGGGAUGGGCUCGCGGCCUAUCAGCUUGUUGGUGGGGUGAUGGCCUACCAAGGCGGUGACGGGUAGCCGGCCUGAGAGGGUGGACGGUCACACUGGGGCUGAGACACGGCCCAGACUCCUACGGGAGGCAGCAGUGGGGAAUAUUGCACAAUGGGCGCAAGCCUGAUGCAGCGACGCCGCGUGAGGGAUGGAGGCCUUCGGGUUGUAAACCUCUUUCGCCAGUGAAGCAGGCCUGCUCCUUGUGGGUGGGUUGACGGUAGCUGGAUAAGAAGCGCCGGCUAACUACGUG